rnacentral:lncRNA from 1 species
GCCGCGCCAUUGGCCUCUCCGCCCACCGCCCCACACUUAUUGGCCAGCUCGCCGCCAAUCAGCGGAGGCUGCCGGGGGCCGCCUAAAGAAGAGGCUGUGCUCUGGGGCUCCGGCUCCUCAGAGAGCCUCGGCUUAGGUGUUAGUUUAUUUAAAGAAAGUUUUAAGUUUGGGUCUUCCUUUUGGCAACAGUAACAUUUUUCAGAUUGUUCCUUAAGGAUGGGACAGUUUAAGGCUGUAUCCCUGCCACCUAAGCAGAAUCAGGUCUUCGAGAUCAACACAUUUUCCUAAUCCCAAGAUGUUGCCUUUUACAUUCUCAGAAGCAAGCAGAGGCACGUGAUUCUCGAUGACAAUACUGUCACUAUGCUAAAUACUGCUGUACAGUUUGGAUUUUUUUUUAAUGUAGUUAAGGUAUGGAGUAUAUGUUUAUGAAUUAACUCUUUCUAGGUUGUGCCUUCCAUAAUCCAUGCAGUGUGUCAUGCAUUUUAACUCUUGUAGCUUUGUACAUAAGGAUAAAGGAUAAACAUAUUGGCAUAAUGUUUUAAACAUUUCUCCAAAGUUCCAAAUUAUAAAAUUCCUAUUUUAGAAUUUAUUUUAGGAGGAUGAUUGUUCUACUAAUCUCAUUUGUGUUUUAAGGUGUUAUAUAAAACUAACAUGGAAGAAUUGGUCAAGAAACUUUUAUAAAGUGAAAUGUGUACUGCCUUUAGAGAUCAUUUGACUUGGCAUGUCUUUUGCAACACACUAACUUUGAGUAGUUUUGGCACCAGCUAUGUUGUGGAGUCAUUUUGAAAGGAGUCAUUCCAGUGAGUAUUGGAUUGUUUUGAAUGCUACUGAAUAUUUUAAAUGCAGAUUUUUGGUGUUCCACAAAGCAAAACUGUCAAGCUUCAAACUAAAAAUUGAAAACCUGAGGUAUUUCAGAAGGACUUGUUAAGAAAAUUUAGAGACCAUACAGUUGACAUUACUGAGUAUCAACCAGGUGAAAAGAAGUGCUUGCAGUGGUUCUUUUGAGCACUAUAGUAGCUUGUUACAAAGAUUUUUCCACAGAUACAAACUCUAAUCCAUAAUUCGUAGGUGUAUAUGUAACACUUUAUAAAUGGAUGAAGCUACAAGCAUGGUUGGGCUUGUUACUGUGCUUGUAUUUAUGUGAAAACUUGGCAAUAAACCUAUGUCCUAAAAUAGUCAAAGUGUGGAAUGACUUUUAAUCUCAUGGCUUAUCUGGAACAACUAUGUUGACAUUUGUCCUAAUGGUGAAAAACAAAGUGGGUAGGGCUGCAGUGCCUUAGCACAUACUGUUCAUUGCCACUCAUUUGUGGUAUAAACCAAAGGGGGCCCUAACUUUGAGGUAAAACCCAGAAUUGGGGAAGCUUGUACAUAUAAUGAGUGCUUUCCAACUAGCCAAUACCUAUCCUCUAACAAUUGAAUGCAGGAGAUAAAAACCAUCUGGUCCUCUUAUUAACCCAGACAUUCAAAGUUGCAAACUUAGUGUUCUCAUCCCCAGCCCAGUCUUGAAAACAGCUGACCACCCCCAACACACACACACACACACACACACACACACACACACACACACAAACCAUAUGCUACAGUGUUUCAAAAUUUUAAGAAUGGGUGAGAAUUAGGUUUUAAAUUUUGAGAAAUGGCUUCUCUAGAAAGAUGAACAUGGUAAACAAUGACUCCUAAAAAGCCUAGAAGGCUGGUACUGGGUACACUGGACUGGCAGGUUUUAGUGGAGAAAGGUGUGUAUUGCUUUAAGUGGGUCACAGAAGACAGGAAGUUAAGAACUUGAGCCUAAACUGAACUGGCAUCUUAAAUGGCUACAUCUUCACAACUGAUUAGCAAGAACUUCGAAAAGAAAGGGUAACAAUGGAGCCCAGACAGCAUCUCCCACACUAGGCAUAUCAGACUGCCUGUUAACUCCAGCUUCUAGCCUCCACAGGCACCUGCACACAAACACAAUUUAAAAAUAAGACUUGCCAGGUGGUGGUGAUGGUGAUGAUGCAUGCCUUUAAU